UAUGACGCCUCGUCCGACAUCAGCCAGACAACGGCAUUGGCGAUUUCAUCCGCGGUACCGACGCGCUUCAUCGGUAUCGUAUGGGCCAGCCGGUGCGCGCGAUCCGGCUCGCCGCCGCUGGCGGGAAUUUNNNCCCCGGGCGGAUGCCGUUGACGCGAAUGCCCUCGGCGCUGACUUCACGCGCGAGUCCGACCGUGAACGUAUCGAUCGCGCCCUUCGAGGCGGCGUAGUCGACAUACUGCGCCGGCGAGCCGAGCGUCGCGGCCACGGACGAGAGAUUGACGAUCACACCGCCGCUGCCGCCG
rnacentral:misc_RNA from 1 species